ensembl:lncRNA
GUAUUAUAAAAAUACUUCAAAGACCAUUAGAUAUUGUGAAGAAUGAAGAUAAAACUAUAAAUGUAUUAAAUACUAUAACUGAUAAAACUAGGAACAAUCGAAUUGAAAAACAUAACCAUAACGAAAAAAGUGAUAAUAAUAGCACAAAUAAAGAAAUAAACAUAGAUAAAAAGGAAAAAAAAAGUAAAAAGAAGGUAACGCAUGAAACUUCAAAAAAGCUAAAAAAAGCUGUAGAUAGUUUUAAAUUUACAUCAACACAGGAAUUAUUGAAUCUACUUAUUAGUGAUGCUAAAGAUAAUUCUUAUGAUAAAGAAAGUAAUAAAGAAGGAAGUAAAACAUGUGUUGAGGAUACUGUACAUAAACAACAUAAUGAACUUAAUAAGGAAAAGGGGAAUAGCACAAAAGAUAACAUUAUUAAAAAGAGCAAAAUUGGACAUGAUAAAAAGAUAAGUAGUAACUUAGAAAUGAUAGAUGAGAAGAAAGAAGGUAAAAGACAAGAUAAGGUACUACAAAAUGGAACAGAGAAAGAACAAAAAGUUAUUAAAGAAUUUGAUGAAAUUAAAAAGAACGACAAAGAAAGUGCGUUGUUAACUCAAAUGAAUAGUAGUAGCAUUUUAGGGAAAUACAUGAAUUAUAAUAAUAACAACAUUUUGAAUAGUAAUGGUAACAAAAAUUAUAGUAGCACUCAUUAUGGAAACAAUAAAUACGGUAACAACAAUUAUGGAAGCUGCAUUAACGGGGGCAAUGGUUUUAAUAACAAUAAUAUAAAUAUGAGAAGCUAUGGUAUGAAUAAUUAUAAUACUAUGGAUAAUUAUAGUAUGAACACGUACGGUAUGAACGCGUAUAGUAUGAAUAAUUACAGUUUGAAUAAUUAUAGUAUGAAUAAUUACAAUAGUUGUAACUAUAAUUAUAACAAUAGUUAUUAUAAUAAUAUUAAUAAUAUUAUGAAAAAUAGUUAUAGUGUUAAAGACAAGUUUUUAGCAGAUAAAAUUCUUCGUACUACUUCACGAAUAAAAACAUUAACUAACCUUAAGCAGUUUGAAAAUGCUUCCAAAUUAUUUAAGAGUAAAAACGCAUAUAACAUUAACAACACUACUAGUAGUAAGAAUAACAAUUUAAUGAACACUGAACAUAUGAAUUUAUAUGAUAAUAAAAACAUUUUAAAACUAUUGAGAAAUAGUAACAAUGGUAAUAAUACUAUGGAGAACAUUAAUAAAAAAGGAAAUAAGAAUAUUAAAAAAGCAAUCGAAAACGAACACAAAUAUGCACAUUAUGCUACAUCGCAUUACCCAACUUCUAUUACUACUUUAAAUAGUUUAAAUAAUACAUCAAAAGUAGAAUUAUCUAAAAGCGUAAGUAUAAAAGUUGGAGAUUCAAAACAAACUAAAAAAGAGGAAACAGGAAAUUUAUUUGCAGUUCCCUUAUAUAUGAGAUCACCUAAACCAGAACAAAUACCAAUACCAGUAUACCUAUCAGAAAUUGUUGAUGACGAUGUGAUUAAAGGGUUUCGAUCGGGAGUGGUAGAUGAUAAAAAUUAUAUGGCUCACAAUUGGGAAUUGAUUACGAAUACAAGCAAGAAUGUAGACAAUAUGAAUGCUACUGUUACAGCUACACCUGUUACACCAACGCCUGUCAUUACUACUAAUGUUACUACUACCAAUACUACUACUACUACUACUAAUAAUAAUAAUACUACUGCUACUACUACUACUACUACUACUAAUAAUAAUAAUAAUAACAAUGUCGGUAAUGAUACUAUAUACGACAAUACUAACAUAAGUUACAACAGCAUAUCUGGACUUAAGGAAAUCGGAUGCGGAAGAAUAUUUGAAGAUAAUUUAAUGAACAAAACAUAUAAAGACACCAAAACUAUAUAUUUUCAGAAUAUGAAAACAAAACAUUAUAAUAACAAAAUAUUAAAAGAUAACUCAGGUGUUUCAUAUAUGAUGAAUCAAGAAAAAAUGAAAAAUACUGCACCUUUACACUUUUUUUCAAACAAAGGCUUAGAACGUAAAAAAAACAAAAAAAAAAUAGAUUUAUUACAUAGAAACUAUACCCUUGGUAAUAAUAAUAAUAUUAUGUCUUACAAAUUAGAACAAAAUAAGAUGAAAUUAAAUUAUGACAUGUCAAAUAUGGGGAAAAUGAAAAAUAAUAAAAUAUAUAAUAAUAACAGUAAUAUUAAUAACACUAAUACUAAUAACAAUAUAGCACAGUCAUCAAUUUCUAACAUGAAAUUAUCACCAAAUCAUAAUAAUGGAAAUAAUCUAUAUAUUAAGAAUGGACACAAUUUCAAAGUUGAUAAAUAUUUUUAUUACAGGACUAACAAAAUUAAAACAUCUUAUAUGAAUGAAACUCAAAGAACAAAAUUUUUACCAUCUUUAAAAAAUGUGAAAAUAGCCGUAUAUUAAGUUAAAACUAUAUUAUGUCGGUCUUUGAUGUGCAUGUGCAUGUGCUCGCUUACACGCAUGUAUAGAUAUAUUCUUUUAUUAUUAUGUAAUUUUUUUUUUUGGAAAUAGGGCUCAGCUUUCCCAUAAUGUAUAAUAUAUUAUUAUAUAUAAAAAGUACCUAUAUUAU